GGCCGCGGGAAUUCGAUUAGAGUUUGAUCAUGGCUCAGGAUGAACGCUAGCGGCAGGCCUAACACAUGCAAGUCGAGGGGUAACAGGGAAAAGCUUGCUUUUCCGCUGACGACCGGCGCACGGGUGCGUAACGCGUAUGCAACCUACCUCUUACUGGGGUAUAGCCCAGAGAAAUUUGGAUUAAUCCCCCAUAGUACCACUUCACCGCAUGGUGAUGUGGUUAAAGAUUACGGUAAGAGAUGGGCAUGCGUCCCAUUAGUUAGUUGGUGAGGUAACGGCUCACCAAGACUUCGAUGGGUAGGGGUUCUGAGAGGAUGAUCCCCCACACUGGUACUGAGACACGGACCAGACUCCUACGGGAGGCAGCAGUGAGGAAUAUUGCGCAAUGGACGAAAGUCUGACGCAGCCAUGCCGCGUGCAGGAUGACGGCGCUAUGCGUUGUAAACUGCUUUUAUUUACAAAGAAACCUCGGGACGUGUCCCGAGCUGACGGUAGUAUUUGAAUAAGCACCGGCUAACUCCGUGCCAGCAGCCGCGGUAAUACGGAGGGUGCAAGCGUUAUCCGGAUUUAUUGGGUUUAAAGGGUCCGUANGCGGAUGAUUAAGUCAGUGGUGAAAGCCCACAGCUCAACUGUGGAAAUGCCAUUGAUACUGAUCAUCUUGAGUACGAUUGAAGUUGGCGGAAUAGAUCAUGUAGCGGUGAA
rnacentral:rRNA from 1 species